ACACUAUAUAUAUUGUUAUAUACUAAUUUAUAAAAUAUAUACACAUGUAUAUGUUAAAUAUAUACACAUAUAUACAUAUCGUUCAAUAUAUACGUACUCCUUUAAAUAAAAUAUACUACAAUAUAUAUACACUAUAAGAAAUACACACACUAUAUAUAUAGUUAUAUACCAAUUUAUAAAACAUAUACACAUGUAUACGUUAAAUAUAUACGUCUAUGGUAGAUAUAUACACA
rnacentral:lncRNA from 1 species